UAUUUUAUUUAAUUUAUGGUUUCGUGAAUGGUCAUUUCUGUAGGCAACAAAAGGUUGUUUUCUUAAAAAAAAAUAAAAAUAAAACAAACAGCACCAUUAAAGAAAGCAUGAUCCCUGAAUUCUAAACAAAACACUGUCUGAAACAAAAAAAUUGCUAAAAUGCUUGUUUCACCCAGUCACAUCUGGUGGGGUAACAAAGCAAAGCAUAUCAGCAUUGAACUGUAGCAACCCCGCUGAAACCAACUAUACCCCCUUCUGAAGAUUCAGAGAACCACUUUCUGAGCUUGUCCUGUGGGAAUAAUAUUUUCUUUGGUAGAGGACUGAAGGAGGGUAUUUACUUCACUGAAUGCAGAUAGAAAAAAUAUCUAUGCACGUUAGGGAUCUCCCCAAUAAAUCUGUAUUUCUCAUGCAUGUUAGGUACGAGUGGAUUUCACAUUGCUGUUAUACUGCAGGAGUAAUACUGCCCUAUAAAGGCAUAGAAUGGCUAAUGUUGAACAGAUGUAAACAUUCAGAAUACUGACAAAAAAAAUACAUACACACAAAAAACCCUGUACUGAAAAUGUGAAUCGAGUUAAGUUUCCAUAAAGCAGGAAAAAUAUUUUACAGCAGUACAAGAGAAUUAUGGCAACAAAGUGAAGCACUUUUCUUGUAACAUUCAUGAACAGUACAAAUACAACAAAGUUAUUCUAUGGACUAAAUUAUUCUUUAACUAUCAAAUAUAGUACAAAGCGAAAUAUUAUGUGCUAUAAAAGAAGCAGCUCCUUAAAUUAGACUAAAAAAAUGCUUUUUUUCUUUUCGUUGGUUUUACACUCUUGAGUGUUUAUCCUGGUACUUCACCACACUUUGGAGAAACUGCUAAACCAGAGGCUACAAUAACGAUUCUGAAAUUGUGCGUGUGUUUAUAAGGGGAAGGGGGUGCAGCAUAAGGUAAUUUUACUUCAGAAAUUGCAUUAUAAAGCACCAUAUGCACCAGCUUAAGAACUGUGCAAGGAAUUGCAGGGUCCUGAAAAACCAUCUGCAUGUUCUGUAGCUUACCCUGACAACAUGCACCACCCUCAAGAAGAAAGUCUAUAGUACAGGGAAUAUACCUUUUGCUUUAUGGCUCAACCUUUAUUUUUGUCUUUUAAAUGCUAUUUCACAUACUAGACCUCAGCAGAUAAAUAAAAUGCAAACAGGGAGCAUCCAGUUCACCAUUUCUUAAUUACUUUUUUGUUAAACAUUAUUUCAAAGGGAGUUUCUGCUUAGAAAAUUAGUUCAGAACAGAAACACACAAACACACACACUGCAAAUGCCCUAACGUUAUCUGCGUAUCUCACAGGUAUGCAAUUAAAACAAUAAAGAGGAAGGAAAGAAGAGUGUUUCUCCCUCUCACCCAAAAGUGCUGCUCCAGGGGUAGGAGUGGGGGGGAAGAAUUUUGGAGAUUUAAAACAAAAAAAAAAGUAAAUUAAACAUGCUUGACAUUGGGACACAUACGUAUGUACACGCAAACACAGAGCAGUGUGUUCUUAAGCAAUUCUUUCACCACUUUUCAGUGCAUAAACUAUUAACAACACCCCAUGGUGCAAACUGCAGGGUCAUUAGAAAACACAAUGACAUUGGGCCUGGAACCUGGACAAUUAAACAAACAGAAAAAAGAAGUCAUUCAAAAUUAACCUCUAAAUGUGAUUGUGUUCUUAUUGAAGACCAAGGGCCACUCUACCCCAAGCAUUUGUGUGAUACCAGAAUCCAAGUAAGGUUUUCAGUCACACUAGGAUUCAGACAGGCUCCUAUAUCACUGCAGUUGCUUUUGAGUAUUUUAAUACUCUAAAACUAUAAUCUGCAACAUUUCACAACUGUUGCUAACUAAUUGGUCAAAUUUAUUCCUGGUGCAACUCCAAUGACUCAAGAAUGAAAGGAGUGGAACUGCACUAUGGAAGAGUUUGGUCGGUUGUGUAAUAUAUAACAUAGCACCAUCCAGUCUAAUGCCAUUUUAAAUAACAUUUUAUCGUGACCUCACACAUGCAAGUUGCAAUCCUGAUACAAAAAUAACAAUAUGACAUGAAUGAGUUACCUACUACAUUAGUACACUCUUAUCCUUUGAACAAAGUAAAACUAUUUUGUGGCUGGAAUUUAUUUCUGUAUUAUGUCAGUCAAUAAAAGAAGUAUUUCAAGAUGCAAGUACAAACAAAUAUUGACUUAUGUGCUCUGGACAGGAAAACCUGAGCUAGAAAUAAGGAUUCCCAGCAGGCUUAUAUAAACAUAGGUUAUUAGAAGUCUAAGACUGGUUGCUGUCUUUAUUUUAAAUAGAAGUAUCCUACCUCUACCAAGUAUAAAUACAACACAAUACAAUUCCGAUACAAAGGCUCCUCAAAUAUGAAUUUGAUGUGCAUUAACUGACUACACCCAUGCUUAAUCAUGAGCAUUUUCCAGUCACUUGUUUUGCCAGAAGCUGGCAUAACAGUGGAUGCUGAUUUCUAUGGGGUUACUUCUAGCUUUUUGCUUGGCUGGCUUAUUUUCCUACCAGAAGACCUGAAAGUGCUGAGAAGCCAUUUCUUAACUCACAUGUCAUAUUAAGGAGCACUUUUGUAUAGAAAAAGAAAUAAUAUUAUUGUAUCAUCAGCAACAAAUUUGUUAGUGUAAUUAUAAAUGGCCUUUGUACCACACAGUGUCAAAAAUAAUCUUGAUAUGUUGCUAAUUACAAUAAGAGAACAUCAAGGUGCACCAUAGAGCUUCCUAUGACAGGAAUAUAUGUUGUAGAUAUUCCAGCUC
rnacentral:lncRNA from 1 species